CGGGCCAAGUCAGCUGCUUAAUACUUGCAGGUCGAACGAGCUUCCGUUGAAUGACGUGCUUGCACUGAUUUCAACAAUGAAGCGAGUGGCGAACUGGUGAGUAACACGUGGGAAAUCUGCCCAGAAGCAGGGGAUAACACUUGGAAACAGGUGCUAAUACCGUAUAACAACAAAAUCCGCAUGGAUUUUGUUUGAAAGGUGGCUUCGGCUAUCACUUCUGGAUGAUCCCGCGGCGUAUUAGUUAGUUGGUGAGGUAAAGGCCCACCAAGACGAUGAUACGUAGCCGACCUGAGAGGGUAAUCGGCCACAUUGGGACUGAGACACGGCCCAAACUCCUACGGGAGGCAGCAGUAGGGAAUCUUCCACAAUGGACGAAAGUCUGAUGGAGCAAUGCCGCGUGAGUGAAGAAGGGUUUCGGCUCGUAAAACUCUGUUGUUAAAGAAGAACACCUUUGAGAGUAACUGUUCAAGGGUUGACGGUAUUUAACCAGAAAGCCACGGCUAACUACGUGCCAGCAGCCGCGGUAAUACGUAGGUGGCAAGCGUUGUCCGGAUUUAUUGGGCGUAAAGCGAGCGCAGGCGGUUUUUUAAGUCUGAUGUGAAAGCCUUCGGCUUAACCGGAGAAGUGCAUCGGAAACUGGGAGACUUGAGUGCAGAAGAGGACAGUGGAACUCCAUGUGUAGCGGUGGAAUGCGUAGAUAUAUGGAAGAACACCAGUGGCGAAGGCGGCUGUCUAGUCUGUAACUGACGCUGAGGCUCGAAAGCAUGGGUAGCGAACAGGAUUAGAUACCCUGGUAGUCCAUGCCGUAAACGAUGAGUGCUAAGUGUUGGAGGGUUUCCGCCCUUCAGUGCUGCAGCUAACGCAUUAAGCACUCCGCCUGGGGAGUACGACCGCAAGGUUGAAACUCAAAGGAUUUGACGGGGCCCGCACAAGCGGUGGAGCAUGUGGUUUAAUUCGAAGCUACGCGAAGAACCCUUACAGGUCUUUGAACAUCUUCUGCCAAUCUUAGAGAUAAGACGUUCCCUUCGGGACAGAAUGACAGGUGGUGCAUGGGAUGUCGUCAGCUCGGUGUCGUGAGAAUGUUGGGUUUAAGUCCCGCACGAGCCCAACCCUAUGAUUUAUUUCAGUUGCCAAGCAUU
rnacentral:rRNA from 1 species